rfam:Basidiobolus meristosporus CBS 931.73 K493scaffold_1033, whole genome shotgun sequence.
GUUGGGUAGAGUGGCGUCUAUCUGUAGCUCAAGCUUCUGGAGAACUGGUUGGGUGAAGGCUUGAGUAGUGGGUCCCUGCUGAUGAUUUCGAUCCAUGUCGAGGGCGUUGUCCUCUGGAGCCUAGUGUUGACAUUGGCAUCUUCAAGUAAUUGCGAGAUGGCAAGGUUAUUAAAGACUUGGGGAACGCGUGAGGCUGGCAACAGAGCAACGAAAACCAAGCGCACUGGAGCAGUCAGAGGUUGGCAAGUCUGAGUGGAUGGUCACCAGUAGCCGCUACAAUAAAGUUCGACUACCGACUUA